CGUCAACGGUCAGCUUUGUGCCAAUGCCACUCGGUAAACGCCGAUGUCGCGUACGACAAAGACGACUAUCCCGUACGCGAAAUAGUUGAGAACUGCAUGACGUGGACCUGACGGCAAGGACAACUGCGAGGAGGCCCCUUUCCGUACCCCGUACUGCAAAGUGCCAUUGAUGGAUGCCUUUUGCACCUGGAACGACCCCUUAAAGGGGAACUCCACGAAAAAAUGAAACUUUGAUAGCCUGUAGAGUUUCGGGCGCUGAGUCGAAUGGUCUUGGUCCGAAGUCUCUACGACGAAGCGUUCUUGAGAUAUUUCACUUUGAAAUUGCAAAAACGGGGGCCGCGCCCUGACGUCAUGCGGCCAUUUGGUUACAUCAUCACGGGCUGCCUACGUCAUUGUGGCAAAGUCGUUUCUCUUCGCCAGUCUACAAGCACUAAUUUUAGUUGGUAUUUCAAGGGAAGAUGGGCGAUUCCGAACAAUCCUCUGUCCCCAGCAAUGAAGGCAGCGAUGCUGAGGCCAGUGAGGACGACCAACAGCCCACCGCCGCGUAUGGUUGGGGCAGGGAGCCCAGAUACUGUGCUGAGGAGCUGCCAUCGCGUGUAACAAAUGUGGAGGAAGAAGAUGCGUCAGCAGCUGCGUCCGGCAGAAGACGAGUAGCUUGGCCACCAGAAUCUCGAUUCGUUUGGGACUCCGACUGGUGCGAGCGUGGACAAAAGUGUAUAGCCAUGCCCAGCCCGCGGGAAUGAUUUUGCUGGUAGGAUGCUGCCGUCGCUGUCGACAAGACGGCCCAAGGUUUCUUGCGUAGCGGACCUCACAGAUUACGAGAUCGUAUCCUUGCAUUAGGCUGUGCUCAUCACUGCUCUUCGAGGUUAUCUCGACAUGCAGAAGCCGCCAAUGCCAGUGACAGAAGAGUCUGACAUUAGAUCUCUACGCUAUGCGGCACACAGGCAGUACACACUAUGUACACGGCAAAUUGGGCAAGCACGUUCGUUGUCGUCUUCCAGCCUGCGUUGUGAAUACCAUCAGGCAAAGAUAUCCAAAUCCUGCACCACCUCAGCCUUCUCAGGAGGCUUCCACCUUGAAUUUGGCAGGGAAACACGCUUCUCCAAGGCAGGAACAUGGAGGUUGCCAUUUGCAACCGCUACCACCUCACACAUGAGCUUGUCAACAUACUCAUAGCUCUUUCUGUCGUAUAAUUUUCUAUUUGGCCACAGUCUUCUUUAUGCUUUGAGAACUGGACUUUAUACCUUCCUAUCGCGGUCUUUUUGGUUGUGCUGUGGCGACGGUUGACAUUGACGUCGUCAAGAGCUGCGAGAUGUGCGUGUCCAAUCAUCCCCAGAAUUGAGAAACGAAUGCGUUUGAGAAUGUAGUUUGGCAUGACACUGUGAUAUACCUGCAUGGCAAAAAGAAUGUGGAGAAAACAAACUUGCUUAGACAAUAAUUAUACUGCUGUAUGAGAAAAUGGAAACUUCACCGUACAGGACGACUCUUGUUCUCAAUUGCAUUGUUCGUUUCAUUCCCUGUGUUGCCCAUAAGAGACGGGAGCAAAAAUGUUGCAGCAGAUGUUUGUUGUCUUCUGGCGUGGAGUGGCGGCGUCAUUAGAUGUACACAUAGUCAUUUCACUAAGUAUACCACUACUACAGCAUAUGUACUAUCCUUAGGCUAGCGUGCGUGCGAGUGAGUUUGAGUAUGUGGGUGCGUAUGUGUGUGUGUUGUUGUGUUUGUGUGUGUGCACGCACACGCACGCGCGCGCAUGUGGGUGAUGGUGUGAGUGCAUGUGUAUAAUAUGUGUAGUUCCCACUGUAUUCCUUGCACAAUAGGUCUUCACUUACUUUUCUUUCGCAUACAACCAGAACCCAUUCCUUGUUCGAAAUUAGAUUUUUUUGGCCUGGUGAUCCCGCAAGCGUGGAACUCGGAGUGUAAUAUAUUUUUGUUUCACUUUACUUGCACUAUUCCAAGGCUGUCCAGACUUCUAACAACUGCUCUGAGUGAUUAUGGUAUUCAUGCAACCAUGCCUAGAAGUAGGGUAGCUGUUAUAAAUAGAGACAUAUCCACGCAAUCAACUUACACUGGUUCAGUUUGGCAGGAUUGGUGAGACAGUUCGUCGUGCAUGCUGCCUGCACAUCGCAAGCAAACAGUUCUGUAACCUUCGUACUUGCUGGGGGUCUGUCUGUUUGCGUCCCAGUUGAUGAAAGAUGCGCACAGUUUGAGUACUGGUAUGCGCAAAGUUACUGGGGUAAUAUCGUUCAUCAGCUAGCUGCAGUCGGAGUUGAUGGGGUGAUGUACUCUUCUGAUCCUGAUGGGACGUAUCUCGCCCUGCUUUCUCAGUUGCAGCUUGUUGAGUUCGCUUUGCUGGAGGCUCACGGUUCGGAGGGCACUGGUACACUGAUGAGGGCUUUCCUGGACGGCGUACUCGUCAAAACUCAGCUCUCAAGUCCCUCUGGAUCAUAAAUGCAGCGAGCAAACAUAGCUCGUGCUGCGAAAAUAGGCUUGAAAUGUUCACGACGCAUUGCAACAUCUCGGCGCUUUGCCAGGUCUCCAUCCUUUGGGAAUUUGAGAAAACUAACCCCAGGAGGAUGAUGUGAUACUGGCACAAUCAACAACACAACAAUUUGGCAUUGCAGCGGCUCAGGCGACUUGGCAAACUACUUUCUGAAGUGACUUUCGUCCUGAAGAAAGUGAGAUUCAAAAUCCAAGUAUUUUCGCACAUUGCCACAAUGACGUCACACAUACAUUGGUAUGGGGCGUGGCUAAAAUUGAAAUAUCUCAAGAACGCUUUCUCGUAGAGACUUCGGACCAAGACCAUUCGACUCAGCGCCCGAAACUCUACAGGCUAUCAAAUUUUCAUUUUUUCGUGGAGUUCCCCUUUAAACGCUGUCGCGGCGACUGCCCCGUACGCGAAAUAGUUGAGAACUGCUGAAGUGGACCUUUUGCACCUGGAACGGCCCCGUCAACGCUGUCGUGUCGGCGGAGUGAAUGUGCAGGGUGAAAAUAAUUGCUGCAAAGACGUCCGGUCUAGGCCUUUGGAGACAUCGUGGGAACUCCUUCCGGUACUAUACAAACUGCUGACGUGGCCGUGGACAUGUACAUGGAGACAUGGUGGGACUUCAUGUACAUGGAUACAUGGUGGGAAUUCCUUCCGGCACCCCCGUACCGCAAAGCCAACGGUGGGGAAGGAGAAGUGCAGACGUGCAGGAAGACGAACGAGGACGAACCAGGACGAGCGAGCAAUGGCAGGACUAGGGGGACUGUAAGUAAUAGCUGAAUUGUGCAUGACAACUUGACAUCCAUGCGGCACUCGCCACUUGCCACUGCAUAUUUCUUGUCCACUAACAAUGUCUCUCCUCUGCCCCUGUGUGUCCACGGCCCUGUUGCUGAACUGGCCCGAUGAAUCGAAUGUCUUCCGCAACUGGAACGGCCCCGUAAACGCUGUCGCGUCGGCGACUGAAUGCGCAGGAGGGAAAAUAUUGGUGCGAAGACGUCUCCUCUAGACGACGGUCGCCAUAGUUUCAAUCGCCACGCAUCACUUGGCCAUUGAAGCAGCGUCGACAGCAUUGAUGCAAUUAAAAAUGUUUCGUCCGAAAGCCAAUGUGUUGAAUUAAGUCUGCUGAAGUGCUAUUGCACAACAUGUCCGUGUUUGCUCUCCUCUGCGCGCGUGUCUGUGUGUGUGUGCAUGUGUGUGUAUGUGUGUGUGUGUAUGUGUGUGUGUGUGUGUGUGUGUGUAUGUGUGUGUGUAUGUGUGUGUGUGUGUGUGUAUGUGUGUGUGUAUGUGUGUGUGCGUGUGUGUGUAUGUGUGUGUGUGUAUGUGUGUGUGUGUGUGUGUGUGUGUGCGCGCGUUCAUUUAUGUCUUCCCUUGUGCGUGUGUUGGGGGGGGGGGAAGGUGUGCCGUGGUCUCACUGGCCCCGUCACUGACGACAGAGAUUUCGGCGCAUGCGCGGGCCGUGGUGCGGCCCACGGUUGCCGCAAUGUGCAUGUGCGCUUAUGCACCCCUGUCUACAACAAUGCGUACUGUUGUGCUUCCGUUUGUCCGUGUGUCUCUUCACGCCUCUGCCUGUGCGUAUGUACAUUGGUCCAUGUCACGUCAACUGUACGCGUGUCUGCGUGAGUGUAUACACGUAUGUGCAGUCGGGCAGCAUGACCUGCUGAUCAGGAGGUGUGUGCCAGUGCCACGCACUGCCGAAGCACGGGUGCUCACAGCUGGCUAUGUGACCACCCUACUGCAAUGUCCCAUUGCGACGGGACGGAGUUGGGGCUCGACACCAUAUCAAUGCCCACUCUAAAACUCACCCGUUACACUGGAACGUUCAAC